GGCUCAAUGGUCUAGGUGGUCAUGAUUCACUAAUCGGGCUGGUUUUAUACCCGACUCACCUUAGUGAGGUCCCAGGUUCGAGUCCUGGUUGAGCCC